CUAGAUGCAGUCGACGGAAUCUUCGGAUUCAGUGGCGGACGGGUGAGUAACACGUGGGAAUCUACUGAGUAGUGGGGGACAGCCCGGCGAAAGCCGGAUUAAUACCGCAUACGCCCUACGGGGGAAAGGCGCAAGCCGCUAUUUAAUGAGCCCGCGUAAGAUUAGCUAGUUGGUAAGGUAAAGGCUUACCAAGGCGACGAUCUUUAGCUGGUCUGAGAGGAUGGCCAGCCACAUCGGGACUGAGACACGGCCCGGACUCCUACGGGAGGCAGCAGUCGGGAAUAUUGGACAAUGGGCGCAAGCCUGAUCCAGCAAUACCGCGUGUGUGAAGAAGGCCUGCGGGUUGUAAAGCACUUUCAGUUGGGAAGAUAAUGACGUUACCAACAGAAGAAGCACCGGCUAACUCCGUGCCAGCAGCCGCGGUAAUACGGAGGGUGCAAGCGUUAAUCGGAAUUACUGGGCGUAAAGCGUGCGUAGGCGGUUUAUUAAGUCAGAUGUGAAAUCCCCGGGCUCAACCUGGGAACUGCAUCUGAUACUGGUAGACUAGAGUGUGGGAGAGGAGAGUGGAAUUUCCGGUGUAGCGGUGAAAUGCAUAGAGAUCGGAAGGAACAUCAGUGGCGAAGGCGACUCUCUGGACCAACACUGACGCUGAGGCACGAAAGCGUGGGUAGCAAACAGGAUUAGAUACCCUGGUAGUCCACGCCGUAAACGAUGUC
rnacentral:rRNA from 1 species